CAGAGUCUGCUGGCUAUUGACUAAAGGUUGGUGGUGGCCACCUCACGCCUGCAAACCACGAGGUUUGAGUAUCUUGGGAGAAAGCUCUGGGACAAUGCCCUCCUUGAUGUCAGAGUGUGUGGGGUCUUGUUGAAGAUUUGCCAGGCAGCCAAGAGAAAGUGUUCCACACAUAGAACAGGGGGAGACCUGAAUCUCAGAGAAAAUAAAACAAAACCUAACAAAACAGAAAUGACUCUUGAUGAAACUCUUGCUCUGGACUGGUGCCCUAGAAGUGAAUGAAAUUGUUUUAAAGAUUACCAAGAAGAUAUAACAUAUCAAAUGCAACAUUAAUAUAUGUCAAAAAGAGGAAAAGGUGAAGAUCAGGAGACAGAACAUUCCAAGGAUAUAAAAGCAAAUGUAAAAAUGCCCUAAAGUGGACAUCAGCUUGGCAUGUUGAAGGCUGAAAAAUCCAAGCUAAGUCUGUGCCGUCUUCACCAGUGUUCAGAUACACCUAGAAGCUGCUUUCUGAAAAGAUGGAGACCUUUUUUACCCAACAGCAUCAGCUCAGAUUCCUGUGAUUAUAGCACAGCAUGAUUGCUUCUUCAUCCCUUCUGCCAUAUGAGGACACAGUGAGAAGAUGGACAACUAUGAACCAGGAAGUGGGCCCUCACCAGACACUAAGUCUUCCAGGGCCUUGAUCUUGAACUUUCUGGCCUCCAGAAAUGUAAAAAAAAUACAUGUAUGUUGUUUAUAA